UGCCCUUUCCCGUCAGUUCAGUAGGGAGUGGGCCAAAAGGGAAAAUCUGAAUGCUAACAUAUAUGUAAAACAUGAUGGGAAACUACCCUCUCCCUUCCACCAAAACAAUGCAUGGAGUUGUGGAUUUUAAAUAACAGUAAUUAUUCAUAUGAGACUCUAUACCAAAAAGGGCACAGAAAUAAUUCAUGUAUUACUAAUACCUACGGAACAAUAGGAAUAUGCACAGAUUAGGGCAAAACUAGCAUUUUGUUUUUUUAAAGGUUAUGCUACACUGCAGUCUGAAGUGGUAUUCUUAAAGUUCAAAUUACACAUUGGGUCCACAGAUAACACACAAAAACUGAUUUGGGAUAAAUGAGCCCUAUGGAUGAUCUCUACAAAAGCAACAUCUGGGCCAACACCUACAUACACUCACCAGAAACUGCAGCAAAUACAAGCAGAGCAGGUAAGCACAAAGGAGAACAGGAAGAUGGCAGUGUAACCUGGCUACACCAUUGGAAACAUUCUGAUGAAUGCCAUCCAUGAACACAAGCACACACUACUACUCACAAAAAUGGUAAUAAAUUCAUAUUCAUACCCAGGCAUUCCCAAUUAGUGAAGAAUUAUAUUUGAAGCCUACUUUAAAACAAUAGGGGCUGACCACGGUGAUUCACGCCUGUAAUCCCAGCACUUUAGAAGGCCAAGACGGGCCGAUGGCUUGAGCACGCAGAUUGCUUGAGCUCAGGAGUUCAAGACCAGCCUGGGCAACAUAGCGAGACCCCUGUCUUUACAAAAAAUACAAAAAUUAGCCAGGUGUGGUGUGGUGUGUGCACUUGCAGUCCUAGCUAUUCAGGAGGCUGAGGUGUGAGUCUUGCUUGAGCCCAGGGGGCAGAGGUUGCAGUGAGCCAAGAUUGCGCUACUGCACCCCAGCCUGGGCAACAGAGACCCCGCCUCAAAAAUACAUAAAAAAAUACAUUAAUUAAUGUAAUCCCCCAUCCAUCUAUUUUCAAUACAGGGCAAACCAAAAAGCAGUUCUGUGCAUUUAACCUAAAUUCUUCUAUAAGAAUAUAUUAUAUGUAGUUCUUUAAAAAUAGAUUUUUGCUCAUUUGCCGUAAUUUUUUUAAUUUGAUGAAUUGAAGUGGUAUUCCUUAACUGCAAUUUCAAGAUGUUUUUCCCUACAGGCCAACAACCCACAAAAUAAAAUGCCACACCUGAAGCAAUCCUCCAAACUUACUAUCCGUCAUUAGCAAAUAGAGCUUUAACCUUUUGGGCAUCACAGGGUCUUUAAGAUGCCCGUGCCUGCUGAGACCUUCUCCCUAGAAAAAUGCAGUAAAUACAUCGUGUUUCAUAGGGCUCAUGGACUUGUUGAACACUAUACACAGGCCACAAGUAGAAUCUAUUGUCUACCUGAGAAUAUACUAUUAUUUCGAAAGUCUCUUAGGAAUUGGCAGCAAGGAGUGUAUGUGCAAUGGGUACAAAUCCACCCAGGGUUUUGUAGUUGUGAUAUUACUACUAUUUUUGGUGGCCUCAACUUUAAUGGAGCAGAAAAACAAUUGAGGUUAGCAAAUAGCAGUGUAAAGGAUGGAUUCAGCUCAUUGGGAAGAAAAAAAAAUUCUGCAUACCCUGAAGAAAGAGAAGCUUCUUUUCAGUUUCCAGAGAACCAGAAGGACCAUCAUUUAACUUCUGAUUAACUUUGAGUAUGAUAAGUAGGAAAUGUCUUUAAAUGGGGUUAAAAUUAAUAGACAUUAGAAACAGAAACUACACUCUUAUUUAAGCUAUCAGUAAUCAUUGAUGGCUAAAUGUUAUUAGUAUUGUUAAUAAGAGGAAAAUUCAGUUAUAAAAAUAGAGCACAAUACUCUAAAAUUUUCAUCUUUGUUUAAAAUACUUGGAGGCAGUGUAGUUAAAUGCAAAAUAUUAUGUCAGUUAUUUUGUACACCUGAAGGACUGUUUAUAAAUGUUUCUCAUGUACAUUAUCACACAAAUAUUAUUCUAGAAUACUUGAGUUCUACAUACUACAAAUCAUGUUAAAGAAUCAUAGCACCUUUAAAAAAUGUUCAUACUGAACUGUUGGAUAGAAUUUCCCUUAAUGUAUAGCAAUAAGCUUCAACAAUUUACAGUGGCUCAGGUUGAAUAUCUAUUUUGAUGCUAUAUAUGAAGAGUCUGAUAUGUUUUCUGACAAAAGCAAAAGCUAAAUAAAUUAUUAUUAAGUCAACACUACUGACUCAUGUAGUUAUUAAGGAAAACUAUAUAUACUUUCAUGAAACCUAAUUAUUACACAGUUUUGCAUUUCAGCUUAAUUCCUAUUUUAUUGUUUUGCCAACAAGACUGCCAACUCCUUAAGCAUUACAGCUAGUCAAGAAUUAAAUCUGCAUUAAAUACAGAAUUAAUUUGUCUUUGGGGUUUAAUUUUUUUUAAUUAAUAGCAAAGUGCUAUGUCAAGAAGAGUCAACGUACCAAAAAAUUAAAACAGAAAAUCAAAAUUCAUUAAAACAAUUUCUGUUUGUUUGCUCAGUAGUAUAUUUUUUACAUUCACUGAACAUUGCCUUGCCUUUCCCAUAAUUAAAAAGUUAAUUAUUGGAAUCAUAUUUUUUGUAGAUCCCAGUUUUCAAACAAUGUGAUUUAAAUGCUUGUUAUUAACAUUAUUACAACACUUUGAGUAACACUGAUACUAACACUAAAGUGAUGCUGUUUUGUACAUAAUUAAAUUUGUUACCAUUCUAAAUAGAACUUUAAAUUUAACUCUGUGGUAAAGACCCUGCUUAAGUAUUGAACCCUCCAGUCUGAAUAUUUUUAUAACCUUUUUUGUUUUAAGAGACAGAGACGCGAACUCCUCGGCUCAAGGGGUCCUUCUGUCUCAGCCUCCUGAGUAGCUAGGACUACAGCUGUGUACCACUGUGCCCAGCUUCAUUAUAACCUGUUAAAGGUAGCAGUUAAGUUCCUUGAGGGUCAAGUCAUUCUCCCUUCCCCCACCUCUUGUCCAAAUAUUCAAGAAAUAUUUACUCAGUGAUUUAGUAAUCUACAUUUAGUUACAAAUAUAUUUAUUACUAAAUAUAGAUUACCAUUAAUAAAUAGUUCCUUGGUUUAGUAUGGUCUCUUAAAGUUUUCAGAAGCUAUUAAAUACUAUAAACUGUGUAUAAUGAGCACAGUUUUUAGACAUCUUUUCAGUGAUCAAAACAGAGGAAAUGAAUAAGAAUGGACAAAUGUAGCAAAUUAAACCCAUAACAGUUUUAAAAAUUCUGGAUUAAACAACCCAAACAACUAAUAAAAUCAACUCCUUGUCAAAAGUACAUCUGGGAAUGCUUCUCUAAAAAAUAUUAUUAUAAUUGCCUAAAAUUUAAUUUUUUAGUUGUCUUAUUAGAAAGUCUUUAAUUGAAAAUUAUCACUUAAAAAUCAAACUGGCUUUAAUGUACAAAGCAUAAUCUCCAAUAUCUACUGAAAAUAAUUUUUUUUUAAAAAAUCCCACAUUUCUGAUUCCUUUUUAAGAGAAAAAAAAAAAAAUUGAAAAAAUCCCCCAAAGCUUAUCAGGCUUUUUCGGGCCAAAUCAUUCAGAAAUCUCUCUAUAAAAGAUUCAGAGUAUAUUCAGGGCAUUAAAAUUACCCUACUCUGAAGUAGAAUAAACUAUUUCCUUAUCUUUUAAAAGCUUAGUUAUCAAUACUACUUAGAAUUACCAUCAGAGUGUCUGUAUUAAGAGUACCCUAAUCUGCAGCAGAAUAAACUAUUUCCUCACCUUUGAAGAGCUUAGUUAUCAGUACCCCUUAGAAUCACCAUAAGAAUGGGAGGGCUUCAGCUAGGAUUUGAUAUUGUAAUUAAAAUUUCAAAUAAGACAAAUUAGUCCACAUAAAAAAGUACAGCAAUAGGUACAGGCAAGAGAAGCCAUGAAGGCAUUCUCGAAUCUCGCCAAAGAAUUUUUCUCUAAAAUCAUCUUUAAGGAAAUACCAAUUUAACUUCAAUAGCCUUGUUUAACGAUUCAAACUAUUUUUUUAAAUCUUAGAAUAACCUAAAAUCACAAAAUUUCUCCACUGAGUUGGCAUACCAAUUCCUCAAUUUAAGUUAUUUCAGCUGUUGUAAUCAUACACCUGAUAUGCUUGAUUUGAAACUGGGUAGUUUUUAAGGUUUAGUUGAAUGAGGGAAUUAUUAAUUUAUCACAAUUUCCAGACUAAUAUUAAAACUGAUGGUAAGAAUGAAAAAUUCAAAUAAAAUAACAGAAACCUCUAAUUACGGUGUGCAGCGUUUGCAGUUACAAAAGCAACACUUUCCAUUUUUCCCAUCAUAAGGACUUUGUCACCAAAUAGUAAACUAUACAAAUUGGAUUGCAGCAAUUUCCACUGUUAUUGGUAAUUUUUUAAUAGGAACACUUUCCAUUAAUGCUUGAAAACUACGAACUACAUUUUAUUUUGUAUCUUGUCAAAUUAGUUGGAGAAUAUCUAUUGUAAAGCUGUCAGCACAUCUCUAACAUUACUUUGCCAGGAUCCACCUGCUCUAUGCUGCCCACUACAGGAAAUGCAAUAUGGUAAUAAGAAAUAUAAUAGAAGGUUACUUUAGUACAAUCUCAUAAAAAAUAUACUCUGACUCUACUUCGAUGCUAAAUGUGGUGUUCUUGCAAGAGAUACAGACUGAUUAGUGGCAAUCAAAUUUAUCAACUCUAAAGGACAUCAGUAAGAACAGACAGGACCAGAAAUUUUAUCUUGGUGAUCCACAUGCCAGGAUUGGCGCGGCAGAGGAUGGAGUGUGGAACUUAGUGAUUGAGGCGCAGCCUGCAGAAAUCUCAACUUCUGCGCUAGAGAUUAAAUACGAGGAUCAAAAUCAACAUAAACUACACCCCUUUUUAAAAAGUCAUGUAAACACAAAUGAUUGCUGCAACUAGAAAACAACAUUUAAAAUAAAUUAUUCUUGUGAUGCAUAUCUGUUUCAACAAACAAACCUUUCCUUAAACCUUUACGUUACUCUUACAAGCAAAUACCGUUAAUAGCUUACUUUUGUCUUACAUUUUUCUAAUCACAGGAAAAUUGAAACGUAAGUAAUCUGAUAAACAUCAAGUUUUACGUUUAUGCUUUUGACCGCAGGGUAUACACUGUUAACAAUUUAAAUUCUAUUCAUCAGAUAUACUUUAGGACUCCAUUUUGAAGAUAGCCUCUUCUACAGAAAAGGAAUUUUAAAAAGUCAAUUCUCCAGUUUCUCAUCACAUCUUUUUUUUUUUUUUUUUUUAAAAAAA
ensembl:lncRNA